UACAGAGGUCUCAAGCGUUGUUCGGAUUCAUUGGGCGUAAAGGGUGCGUAGGCGGUAGGCUAAGUUUGGUGUGAAAUCCUGGGGCUCAACCCCAGAAUUGCACUGAAUACUGGUUUGCUAGAGGACUGGAGAGGAGAUUGGAAUUCACGGUGUAGCAGUGAAAUGCGUAGAUAUCGUGAGGAAGACCAGUGGCGAAGGCGAAUCUCUGGACAGUUCCUGACGCUGAGGCACGAAGGCUAGGGGAGCAAACGGG
rnacentral:rRNA from 1 species